GACGAACGCUGGCGGCGUGCUUAACACAUGCAAGUCGAACGGAAAGGCCCUGCUUUUGUGGGGUGCUCGAGUGGCGAACGGGUGAGUAACACGUGAGUAACCUGCCCUUGACUUUGGGAUAACUUCAGGAAACUGGGGCUAAUACCGGAUAGGAGCUCCUGCUGCGUGGUGGGGGUUGGAAAGUUUCGGCGGUUGGGGCUGGACUCGCGGCUUAUCAGCUUGUUGGUGGGGUAGUGGCUUACCAAGGCUUUGACGGGUAGCCGGCCUGAGAGGGGGACCGGCCACAUUGGGACUGAGAUACGGAGCAGAAUCCUACGGGAGGCAGCAGGGGGGAAUAUUGCAGAAUGGGCGGAAGUCUGAGGCAGAAACGCCGCGUGCGGGAUGACGGCUUUCGGGGUGUAAACCGCUUUCGCCUGUGACGAAGCGUGAGUGACGGUAACGGGUAAAGAAGCAACGGCUAACUACGUG
rnacentral:rRNA from 1 species